rnacentral:lncRNA from 1 species
UAAGGUCGGUGAAUGAGUUCUUUAGCAAGUCAUUUGGAUCUCGUAAUGCAGCUUGAGAGAUAUUUCGGAUAAGUCAAAAAUAUUUAAUUUUUAAAUUCAUAGUACAUUUGUAUUCUACUUAUUAAUAUAUAUUUCGAUUCCGUCUUGCAGGAGUACUAUCGAUUCGAGACAUCCCAAGAUAAGAAGGAUGGCCGUCAGACCUUCG